ACGGGGUGCAGCAGGCGCGAACACUUUACAAUGCGGGAAACCGCGAUAAGGGAACCCCGAGUGCCAGCAUCAAAUGUUGGCUGUCCAGAUGAUUAAAAAUCAUUUGUUAGCAAGGGCCGGGCAAGACCGGUGCCAGCCGCCGCGGUAACACCGGCGGCCCGAGUGGUAGCCGUUUUUAUUGGGUCUAAAGGGUCCGUAGCCGGCCUGAUAAGUCCUUUGGGAAAUCUGGCAGCUUAACUGUCAGGCUUCUAAGGGAUACUGUCAGGCUUGGGACCGGAAGAGGUAAGGGGUACUCCAGGGGUAGGAGUGAAAUCUUGUAAUCCCUGGGGGACCAUCUGUGGCGAAGGCGCCUUACCAGAACGGGUCCGACGGUGAGGGACGAAAGCUAGGGGAGCAAACCGGAUUAGAUACCCGGGUAGUCCUAGCUGUAAACGAUGCUCGCUAGGUGUCAGACACGGUGCGACCGUGUUUGGUGCCGCAGGGAAGCCGUUAAGCGAGCCACCUGGAAGUACGUCGCAAGGC
rnacentral:rRNA from 1 species